UAGCAAAUUCAAAAUGGGUCUAAUGUGGGA
rnacentral:piRNA from 1 species